GUUCUCGCGUGGCUGCCUUCUCGGUAUCGCGAUCCAAGAAAUUUUUGUCGGACGUGUGUAAGCUUCGAUGACAUGUAUCGUACCGGAAAUACAUUUUACGAGACGGUUCGUCUUCCCUCCAUCGACCGUUAAACCGUAAUAGAGGGACAAUUAACGGUAAAGCGAGGAGUUAUUCCGAUUAAUUAUUGCGUCGAUGAUGCCGCGUGGACGACGCAGUCAUCGUCCGAUCUCGCCACCUGCACCGUUUCGUCUUCGACGUUGCGCCCACGUUUCGUCUCUUUCUCUCUUUCGCGAUCGCCCUACUCGUUGCGGUCGUCGCAAGAGAACGUUAUCCCCCCCUCACUGAACUUUACGAACUCCCUCCACGUAACGAACAAGUCGAAGGAACGCGGUGGCGCGUUGCUCUUCGGCACCGGGGCGCCUGUAUUCCCACUCCACCGGCUUUCCCCACCACCGCCAAUCUUAUCGGCUUAUCGCAAGCCUGAUUGGCUGUUCGUGACGGCAACGCGCGCAGCAACGGCGCGACUUGACCAGAGUCCCCGGUAGUUUCCACGCAGUUCAGUUCACAUCGUUUCUUUUAUCCGAUUGGUUGUAUUCGCGCGUGAUUUUCAUCCGGUUUGCUUUUUCAUAUUACCAUGCGACGACUGCUCGCUUAUAAUACAUCGUGUUUUUGCUCUUACUAACGUAGAUCAUUCUUUAUUCUUUUUAAUUUUACGAGCGGCUAUUUUCAAACGUUUCGAUAAUUUGUCAUCUAUCGCUUGAGAAUCUGGUAGACCAUCGUCGAUAUUUUUCCAUGACGAUCCUUCUUGUCACGUCUCGCGCGCGUGCGUUCUUUCCCCUUUUCCUUCUCUAGCACCUUACCAUACGAUCACCACACUACCACCCAGAAUUACCAUCUUCUGCUUAACUUCUUUACUCCCUCCUCCAUCUUCUUCGUCUUACUUCUCUCUCUCUCUCUCCCCCCACUCUUCUCACUAACCCUCUUCCCCUUCUACCUCGUCCUUUUCCUCCUCGAUCAUGUCCACGCUUCCGGCUGACAGUGCGGUUUUUGAGUUCGUGCGAUUUAGGGGUACGUCCCUUCUUUCUCUCUCGUGAGUUUCUCAGUGAACAUCGCGAGCAUUCGUCGGGCACUCCAAAUACGGUAGGAAGUCUCGAACUUGUGCGGUCUCUACGGAAAAGAUCUACCUCUCGUACUUAUACGCGUUUAUAUUCUUUCGAAAGGCUGUCCACGUUAACCGUUGUCGUCGAUCUUUCCCUCCGCCAUGCUCUUGCCAUGCCCUCGAUGCUUUCGAAGAUCGAUCGAGGUAUCACGCGAGUGGUAUUCAUUAUACUGGGAAGCCAAUAUAAUAGAGAAAGGAGCAGCAAAGAUAAGAGAAAAAAAAGAGUGAAAAGAAAUAAAUAACCACGGCGUGUCGUUGAUUCGAAGAAAAGAAAAAAAAUGGAGAACUUAAAGCAACGAAAGUAAAGACGAGUACGCAGGUGAAUGGACGAGGACGAGGACGGGUUGAUCGAGCGAAAUGUAAGGGCGAAGCGACGGCGCAAGCGGGUCCCAGUGAAUGUCCUUGGAUAAAAGGUGUCAUCGUACGGAGUAUCUGUUCACAUCUUACCGGGCAGCAUUGGAUUGAAGUUGAACCUUCUAAUACUGUCAGGUAAAGAUGUCGUCAGGAUUCCGAAAUCAACGUGCCAAUACGGCGACAACCUAGGACGACUACGACGACGACAAGGAUCGUAACGAGCAUCGACCGAGUAAACGUUCUAAGAGCGUUACCUAUAUCUAUCUUAUAUACGCUGUUGAGACACACGACGGAUAAUAUUACGUCUGGCUGCACGGGUUCAUACUUCUUAAACUUCUUAAGUAGCCGAGAAUAACUUUCACGCAUAUACACAUGUACAUACAUAGAUGGAUAGAUUGCACGUAUGGUAAAUGGUAAUACGAUAAUUGUUAUCCAUACGACACAUGUAUACAACGAAGUAUUUCGUAGGUUCUUAAUGGAUGAAUUUAUAUUAGUAGCACGACAGAUACGAUCAAGUUAUUGAUAUAAAAAAAAAAAAAAAAAAAAAAAAAGAAAAUGAAUCACAAUUUUUAAUCUUAGAGCGAUCUAUAACUAAUUAUUUUUUAGCUCGCUUUGCUACACGUACUUUGUAUUUUUUUUCGUUUUUGUCUCUGUAUAACAAAAAAUGGAGUUCUUUAAACACAAUUCGUUAACUCAAGCGUGCUAUUUUAGAGUUAAAUAUUAUUGUUUCUAUGUCACAGAAAUACGAAUUGAAAGUUCCUUCGAAGUUUUUUGUUUUUUCAUUUCUUUUUGUUCGAUAGAACAUAAUUAAUAAAUUGGACAAAAAAUUACUUACAUAUAAGCUAGGAUAAUACUUAUCAAUAUGCUUUUUCCAAUUGAAUUUUGUUACCAACGAGCGAUGGAAAGAGCAUAGGAUUAAAAUAUAAAAAUGUAAGUCCAUAGUGGAGAAAGAUGCAUUCGUGUAGAUUGAAGAUUUCCUUUCUUUUUCUUCUGUUAAGAAGAACCUGUAUUGGCUCUCCGACAAAUGCGAUCGCAUCGCCGCCUUCGAAAACGUCGCGACAUCGAAAGGUGCAUCGUAAUGAGCUCCUCACGCCUGUCGUGUUACUCGUGUUGCGGGUAUAUAUAUAUAUAUAUAUAUAUAUAUAUAUAUAUAUAUAAAUGUCUGUGCAUGUAACAUAUUUUCUGCUCUCCCGCGACAACAUAAUCCCCAUCCAGAGUCGAACGUGUGUGGUGAUAAUCUGCGUCUUGAAAACGUUGAGACGAGGAAAGGAAGAAACAAGCGGAAGUGUAAUGUAUAUACAUGUCUUUCUCAUUCUCUGCUCUUCUCAUUCAUCAUUUGUAGUUUAUUUAUAAAUAAAAUUCUAUCUCUAUCUCUUUCUUGCUUCGCGUAUAGCAUAGUACCGGUUUUCUGUAAAUAUUUUCACUCUGUUUCUAUGCCAGUCUUAAAAAAACGAUCGAGUCUUUGGAAUUUCGUGAACCGACAACAGCGCGAUACGUAUUUUCGGUUGAUCGUAGUCGCUCGCGUGAUUCUUGCGGCGGCGGGGUCAAGAAAGAGGAAGAGAGAGAACAUGGCGGGCAAAGCGGGGUCGGGGAGAAUCAGCUUCGAGAGAGGAAAAGAACGAGGACGAUAAAUAAGGUGGUCGCUGUCUGCAGGCGCGCCAAGCGCUGCGUGUGCGUGUAUUCGUGUAGGUGCAUGCAUCACGUAAGUACAUGUACGCUACUUAUGACAAGUAUAUGUAUGGAUGUACGUACGUUCAUGUGUGUGUGUGUGUGUUGUGUGUGUAUGCAUACAUAUGUAAGCUUUAGGUACGUACAGCUUGCUCACAUGCCGAGGAAAGGAGAAAUACACUCUUGCAAGUCGAACGACCGUGCACGCAGAAACGGCAGGAGGGUUCUACGAUCCUGUAUCGUUGUCGGUAGGAGGUAGAAACGCGGCAAAAGCUCUCCACAGUCUUGUAGUCGUAUGCCUCGGAGCUGCUCGGCGCGGCGAGCGAGUAGGCGCGUCAGGAAUGUAACGCCUCAAAAACGAUGCCACGAUCGUCGUAAAGCAUUGCGUGGGUCCGCCUCGCGACGUGGAAAUGAAUACGCCAGUGUAGAAUUAAGAAUGAUCGAAAAAUAGAUUCGAUGUGAAAGGAAUUUCGGUUCGUUCGAUUCUCCAUAGCGUGGGCUUUUUUCAUUUGAUCUCGUUUCUUAUAUUAUUCUUGUUCGUUCGUUUGUUUGUCCAUAAAGAACAUCGACGUAAUUGGUAGAAAAUUGUUAGAUAAUUACCGAUAAUCGAUGCUACGUCUUAUCAUUUUUUAUUUAAUGUCUUCAGAAGACAAAAGUAAACAACAUACCAAAUUAUA